AGGUCAAUUGACUGCAGAUACUUUGAUUUUGGAAAUGGCACAUGCCCCUUUGGAACUAGUUGCUUCUACAAGCAUGCUUAUCGCGAUGGACGUUUAGAAGAAGUGGUUUUGCGCCAUCUUGGGUCUGAAGAUGGAGACACAGUCAUAGCAAAAGAUAUUAGGCUUUCAGACUUCCUUGGUACCUUGCGUCUUAGGUGAACAAAUUGAAAGACUUAAAAGUGGUAUUUAUUACUAUGAAGGAACUACAUGACUUCAAGGACCAAAAAAAAUUUCUUAUUUCCCAUGUUGCACUCCACUUCUAAGUGUGUCAUGCAGAAUUGCUUGUUGGGGAGCCAAACAGCGGACUCAAAAGACAGCCAUUGACGAGAAUAAAGUGCAUUCACUAUUGAACAGAAUAUAUUUAAGAUAAAAUGGUAAAAAUGGAUAAAAAUAUUUGAGAUUUUUGAGAACUGUUUGUUGCAUGUGUGGUUCCCCCUAAGAGAUCUUGUAGAAGGAGGAUCCAGAAUAAUGGGUGAAUAAUUCGAUGAUUAUUACAGAACCCGUCUUCCCUUCAUCACUUGGUCAGGAAUUGUGCACCGAUUGAUAUGCUUUUGGAUGUGAUGGUUARUAACGAUAUUUCAUGGUAUGUGAGUCGACCAAAAGAAACUGGGCUACAUUUAUAUGGAUUUGGAUUACUUGAGUUAUUUCAAGUCAUGUGUAAAGACGAUGUGAAAGUACACGUUUCCCCUGGUGUUUUAGAGUUGCAGCUCUGGAUUAUAGUGGUCU